rnacentral:rRNA from 1 species
GCUUACGGCCAUACACCCUGAGAACGCCCGAUCUCGUCCGAUCUCGGAGCUAAGCAGGGUCGGCACUGGUUAGUACUUGGGUGGGAGACCGCCUGGGAAUACCAGGUGCUGUAAGCU